GUAUUUCUGUGUAUUCAUUAGGGCCUAACUCGGGCAGGCAGCUGACGUAAAGCUCACACGUGGCGGUGGGGCUCAGGCGGCUUUUGGUGGAAAGAUUUAUUGUAACAGUAGAGUUUGGCUGAGUCUGAGAAAUUCUAAAGUGCUCAGUUGAAAGUCAAAAUAAUGAGCUCUCUGAAAAUGACAUAACUCCCCAAAGUCCACUAACAAUAGCGAGAAAAACAUUGCUAUGGCUUGCUUAGAACUUCACUGCACUUAUGAAUUAACUGGCAAAUAGAGUAAGUUGGGGGAAAUUUCUACUCUAAAUAUUAAUUUUUAUGAUGCUUUCUCCAACUCAUUAACUGAGAUGGAACCCAUUUCAUAGUAUUUUAGAGUGCUAUUGUAAAUGUUCAAUUAAUUUAUUCAUCACUAGUCUCUUGAAAUCCUCAGUGAGUGACAGCUGUCUAUCAGGCACCAUGGAAAGAAGAGACUAGACAAAAGACAUUGUGAUGAACGAACUCACAUUUAAUUUAAAAGGACCAGCAAAAAGAAGAAUCGCAUUGCAAACGUACUUGCAUACAGAUGCUUGUUGUUGCACUCUUCACAAUGGCUGAGUGAUGGAACCCACCCAGGUGUCAUCAACAGUUGAAGAGGUGCACUUGGAUGAGAAGGCCCCACCCCUCACCACUGUCAUGGGAAAUCUUGUCCCAGUGUCAUUGGCCUAGGAGAGAUGGCUCUGCCCCUCACCUGAGGGGGCAGUUCCAGUGGCCAGGACCAACCAACUCAGCUACCACCCAGAAAAACAUCCUAAGCCUCCGGUUAGCCCACCCUAGUGUCUGCCCCCAUCUAUGCCUGCUGGAGUGUGUGAAGGCCCUGUGGAACAAUAACUGUAGGAUCUCCAUGACUUGGGGCAACAGCAGGAUAUUCAAGAAGAGUUUCAGUGAAGGGUCCAGUGAUGACUGCAUGCCCAAGGCCUUGAACCAGACCAAUAACUCAUUGCAAUUUACAUUUUGAAGAUGGAUUUAAUUGGAGAAAAGGAUAUACUACAUGACACAUUGCAGCAUCCAAUGCCACUAGGAUGAAUGAAGAGUUGUUGGAAAGAUUGCGGAGCAAGGACCAUAUUUGACGAGCAUUGAAGAUGAAGGAGGUUGGCCAGUAGGAGGCGGCUCUGAUUGGCACCUGUGGAUGAGCAGUUGUGGAAGCACAGCCCUAAUAUAUACAGUAGCUGGAACCACCAAUUGUCCGUGCUGUGUUUGAAAGUAUCUGUGGCUGUCCUGAGUUUUUACAUGGGUGCUGGUAACCUGAGCUCCAGUCUUCAUGCUUGUAUAGGAAGCAUGCUUAUCAAGACAUCUCUCAACCUCUAACGACUUCUCUCUAUUCUUACAAGACAAUAUACAUCACCGGUCUCAGAAGACAGCAAAAAUAGCCAUUUCAUUCCCUUAAGAAUUGUUGGAACCAUAGACACAUGGGAUUCAAACUCAGAUCAUCAUGCUUGCAUAGCAAGUGUUCCUAUUCACCAAGCCACCUUUCCUGCCUGAGUAAGGGCAGUUUCACAGUUUACUUUAUAAUUCUUGUAAAUUAUUGAGGUUAAAUAAUGGGUAGAGAAAAUGGAAGUGCACUUAUGCCUGAAGAUUUGAUUUUAGCCCUAUUUUUUUCUGUAAACCUCUUUAAACACAAGUUUCUUUAGAGCCAAAAUUGUGCUGGGGUGGGGGGUGUGGAUCACCUGACCAAACACACAAAAUUUAUGAGAAUCAAAGGAAUAACAGUGAUUGCUUUGAAAACUCUGAAGAAUUGCUCAGCCACGAAUAAUUACCAUAAGCAAGUAGAAUUAUUAUAGAGGACAGAUUCAUCAGUUGCUCAUUUCAUGGGUUUGGAUUUCAGUUUUCUACAACAGCAUGUGAGUUGCGAUUAUUAACCUUUCUGGUUUGAAGUGGUGCUAUCACCUCUAUUAGUUGUUUUCUUUGUUGCUGUGACAAAAUAGUUGCCUUACACUUUGAAGGUACAGCUCAUCUUGUCAAGGAAGACAUGGUGGAAGGAAUGUGAAGUUGUUGGUCAUACUGUAUCUACAGUUGAGAAGCACAGAGAGAUGAGUACUGAUGUUCAAUUUACCCUUUCCUUUCCUCCCUUUUGUUAAGUCCAGAAUUCCAGCAAUGGUGGUACCACUUGCACUUAAGAUACAUAGUCUCUCCUCAGCGAAUCCUCUCUGGAAAUGCCCUCACAGACGCACACACAGGUAUUUUUCCAAGGUGAUUCUAAAUUCUGACAAUGAAGAUUAACCAUCACAUAAGUGCUCUCUCUCUCUCAUCUCUUAGAUGUUGAAUUAAAAUUUGAGAUGAUUUGAAGAGCAAAUGUAUUUGAAAGAGAAUACUAAUAUAAAGAGAAGAGGCUAUUUUUAGAAUGCCUAGCUAGGCAACCAUUCAUGGUUUUAAGUGUGUAAAUUCUUUACUAGAGACCUGUUGCUCAGUUAUACUCUAACCACAUGCCAAAAUGAGGUGCUCUGCAUUCCACUCUGGAACCUCAAUACAGAUGGCAUCUAUUCUCCACUUACAGAAAACAGGAAGAUGUCAACAAAAUCAAAUGCUGAUUGGCUUUCCUCAAGUAUCCUGCUGAGAAGCAUUUUUCACAGACCAUAGUAUUUCAAUGUCUAGUCAUUCAACAAACACUGACCACUGACUCUCAAUGUAUCUGAGUGUGAAUUUGACAUUCUAAAUAACAUAGAUGCAGCUUUUGCCCUUCAGGAAAACGCUGUCUAAAUGAUGAUGAAUACAUGUAAAUAAAAUACAGUCACAUGGUGCAGUCUACAUUAUGUUUCUGAUACUGUAAAAAGGAGUGUCAGAGACAAUGAUGAAAGGGCAGUUGAUGCUCUAUGAGCCCUGAGGAUAAUUCAUUCAGGAAGAUGUUGCAUUUUGUCUGGAAAGAAGGGGAGACCAGGAUAUUGUAUGUCAAAGGGAAACAUAAUGCUUCUAAACUUCCUUUAUAAUAUAUUUCCUAUUAUCAAUAUUUAGUCCUAUGUUACUUAAAGUAGUCAUCUCUAUACCUUCAUUUACUUUAAAAAUAGUGUUUGAUGUUUGUGAUUUGUUACAAAUCCUAGCUACCAGCCAGUUAAGCAUCAAGUUCCAGAAGCUAGAACAAUUAAAAAAAUACUUUGCUGACAUAAUUCUUACUUGUUAUGGAAAUAAUUCCAGAUGUCUUAACACCCACUUAAAUAAUAAACCCAUCAUAUUUUCAUAGUAAAAUAUUUUGAAAUUAUUACAGAUGCAACUGGUCAAUCUCUUAGCCAAUUUUAUUUUUUUUUAAAAAAUUCACUGUGAGCUGUUAUCCAACAAAUAAACUCUAGUUGGGGAACUGUUAGGUAAUGUGGAUAAAAGCAUGCUACAGUUUGGAUUUGAAAUGUCCCUACUUUGUGUCUUUUUUUAGUCUUCAGUACAGUAAUAGUCACAGGUGGUACUUUUCACAUGUGAUUGGAUUGUGAUGUCACCAGUGGUUUAAUUCAUUGAUGGAUUAAAAAUAUGAAGACAUUCUUUGCAGGUGGUAAAAAAUUAGGAGACGAGAUCUUGCUGCAGGAAUGCUACUGGGGCCAUCCCCUAGAAGUGCAUAUCUGAUACCCCCUCCUAUUUCCCCUUUCCUACCCCUUCCCUUGCUUUCACUUACACUUCCUUCCUCCUCCUCUCGUCUCCUCUGUCCUCCUUUCAUUUCCUCUCUCUCCCUUCCCUCUCCUCUUAUCCUUUCCUUUUAUCCCUCCCUUCUCCUGUCUCCCAUUAAAUGAGCCAUUUUUCUUUAUCAAAUGUUCCUUGCCAUGACCUCAACACAGGCCCAGGAGCAGCACUGUCAGGUAACCAUGGACUGAAAACUCUGAACCCAUGAGCCUAAAGAAACAUUUCCUCCUUCGCUUGUUUAUCUCUGGUACUUUUCCGUUAUAAUGGACAGACUACUGGCACAAAGUCUGUUCAUUCAAAUGUUAUCACAUAGUUAAACUGUUCAGUGAGCAUCCACAAUAGCAACACCUCGUUUUACAAAGUUACUUUCAUUUUUUGAGGAAUGAUUGUGACUUCAGCAAGCAAAUAGCUUGAAAAACAUGUCUUUGACCUGCCUUAAGGACUAAGUUACAUAGAAAUUGAGUUUGAAUGUAACUGAUGUGUCCUAGACCAAUGGCAGCAUUCCAGAAGAUGCUUCAAAAUUUGGACUUUACUCAAUUUGCUCUUUAACUCAUCCCCCCUCUCUCUCUCAUGAGUUGAGUUUUCUUACAACAUCUAAUUAACUAGACAGUGAAUUAUACUAAAUGCUUGAAGAAUCAGAAAAACAAAAGACAAACAGCUCAAAUGAUUGAGCCUGAGUGUUUGAGUUCAAUAUAUCAGAGUGCUUGGUCUCACAAUACUGUAUGGCCAUUAAAACCACAGUGUUUCAAAGGGAUGGAUCCUAUUGUCCUUGAGUCCUUCUGGCAUCACCAGAGACAAUGAUAAUGCCAAAUUAUCAUCCUCUCUUCUUUGUGUGUGCAUGUGUGCAAACUAACAUGUUGUAGGUACACACAUGUGUGUGGUGUGUAUGCAGGUGUAUAUGUGUACAUGUGGAGAUCAGAAGAUAACCAGUGGUAUGGUUCCUCUGCUGUUAUUCAACAUUUUCAUUUUGAGACACAUUUUCUAUUUCUGUCCCCAAACUUGCUAAAUAGGUUAGAAUGGUUAGCUGAAGAACCCAACAGAUCCAUCCAUUUGUCUCUGUCUCCCCACCAGGAAUCACAAGCUGGAAUCACUGUGCUUGCCCCCCUUUUGUUUUUUGAGACAGGUUUCUCUAUAUUGCUUUGGAGGUUGUCCUGGAUCUCACUCUGUAGACCAGGCUGGCCUCAAACUCACAGAGACCCACCUCCCUCUGCCUCUGCCUCCUGAGUGCUAGGAUUAAAGGUGUGCGCCACCAACUCCCAGCUUGCUUGCCCCCUUUUUAAAAUCAAUUAAUAUAUUUAGAAUCCUGACUGUAGUUUCCCCUCCAUCCUUUCUUCCCAUUUCCCCACUCACCUGUGCUCUUCCCCCAAUGCCCAAUCCAUUCCUCUGUUUAUGUUCAGAUAGGGUAGGCUUCUCACAGAUAUUGUGACAUGUUAAGUUUCAGUAAGAUUAAGCACCUCCCUUGUUUUUUGUUUGGGCAAGGCAAUUCACAUCCAGUAUGAGGAAUAGGUUCCCAAGAGCCAACUAAAGCCUUAGGAAUGGCCCCUGAUCUCGUUAGGAGUUCCACAAGUAGAUUAAGCUACAAACUGUCACAAAUAUGUAGAGGGCAUAGAGAGGUCCCACACAGGCUCACUACUUACUGGUUCAGUCUCUUUGAGUUCCUAUGAGCCUAGGUUAGUUGCUUCGAUGGGUUUUCUUGUGAUGUCCUUGACCCCUGGCUCCUACAAUCCUUCCUCCCUCUCUUCAUCCUGAUUCCCUAAACUUGACCUUAUGUUUGGCUGUGGAUCUCUGCAGCUGUUCCCAUCAGUUACUGGAUGAAGGUACUCUGAUGACAAUUGGGAUAGUGACAGGUCUUAUCACAGGAGAUGGCCAGUUCAGGGUACAUAUUCACUAGUGCUAAGAGUCUUAGCUGGGGUCAUUCUUGUAGAUUUGUGGCAGUUUCCUUGUACCAGGUUUCUACCUGACCCUGAAAUAUCCCCCCCUUUCCAGUCCCAUCUUUCACUAUUCUCUUUUUCCAUCCAUCCCCCAACCUGAUCCUCAUGUUCCUAUCCCGUAUACCCCAAUCCACCCGGAGAUAUCUUCUAUUUUCCCUUCUCAGGGGUUGUAAAUGUAUACAUUCCUUUUUGGGCCCUUCUUGAUGCUUAGCCUCUCUGGGCUUGUGAAUUGUAACACAGUUAUCCUUUACUUUAUAGCUAAUAUAAAAUUAUGAGUGAUUACAUAACAUGUUUGUUUUUCUGAGUCUGGGUUAUCUCACUUAGGAUAUUCUAUCUAUUUGCCUUCACAUUUCCUGAUGUUAUUGUUUUUAACAGUUGAAUAAUUCUCCAUUGUAUAAAUGUACCACAUUUUAUUUAUCUGUUCUAUGCUUGAGGGGCAUCUAUGUUGUUUUCAGGUUCUGGCUAUUAUGAAUAAAACUGCUAAUAACAUGGUUGGGCAAGUGC